rnacentral:rRNA from 1 species
GAUGAACGCUAGCGAUAGGCCUAACACAUGCAAGUCGAGGGGCAUCACAUGAAGUAGCAAUACGGAUGGUGGCGACCGGCGCACGGGUGAGUAACACGUAUGCAACCUGCCUUCAACAAGGGGAUAACCCGUUGAAAGACGGACUAAUACCCUAUAACACAGGGGUCCCGCAUGGGGAAUAUUUGUUAAAGAUUGAUCGGUUGAAGAUGGGCAUGCGUUCCAUUAGCUGGUUGGUGAGGUAACGGCUCACCAAGGCAACGAUGGAUAGGGGAACUGAGAGGUUUAUCCCCCACACUGGUACUGAGACACGGACCAGACUCCUACGGGAGGCAGCAGUGAGGAAUAUUGGUCAAUGGACGCAAGUCUGAACCAGCCACGUCGCGUGAAGGAAGACGGCCCUACGGGUUGUAAACUUCUUUUGUAAGGGAAUAAAUGUAGUACGCGUACUAUUUUGCAUGUACCUUACGAAUAAGGAUCGGCUAACUCCGUGCC